GCAGUCCGUUUACACUCACAUUUGUGUAGGGAACUGACGGAGUGGGAGCCGGGGUCACAGACGCAGGAGAUUUCUCCAGAACUGCUACCCGACAUUCCAGUUUGGAAAGCGCAGCCCUCAAGUCAUCCACCACUAAAGAACAAGAGUCAAUGAGUCAUACAUGAAAGGUGACAGAAGAUGAUGCAACAAAGACAACGGCAUCGGAUUACAGAGGUCGCCGCUGAUUGAAUGAGUGCCGCUACUGAAAUUACACACGAUUAUUAAUGAUUUUCAGUACAGUAACACUAAACGCUUGGCGAGCUUCCUCUCCUGAUUCUCCAAAGGGCAUCUAUGUGACAGGUGUUACAAGAGCACUGUAAUUUAGGUCUUCUAAGAAAUAUGGCAGUGCAAAAUGUGUGUGUAGCAAGAGUGCUGGUGAGAGAGAGAGCACGGUGAAAGGUAUAAUCUGCUCUAGCUUUUCCAACUUUUUGUACAUAUGGUAAUAAUAAUGUUCCAAUGUUUGGAAAACAAAUAUA